UGUUGCAACAAGCUCUUUUCACCCCGUUUACCCUCUUGUUAACAUUUGUGGUUGAUUACAUUGCAUCAAACUCAUAAGCCUGUCUUUCACAACUAUUGCUUACACAUCAUAGAGAUAGAGAAUCACAAAGAUAUCCAUCAAAGCCAGAAAUUACCACAAUGGCAAAGAGAAUAGUACUGUACUACCCCAUGCUUCAGGACCAAGGCCUCCAUACAUGGGUAACUGUGUACUCACAGCUAUACAAAAGAUUGCAAAAUGUGAGAUCCGCCCAAAAAAGUGCUCCAGAUGGGAGACAUUCAAAGAGCUCUACAAAGAGGCGCUGUCUUGAGCAGCCAACAGACACGUAUGAAAUUGAUUCAAGUGACAAACAUUCUAGAUUGGUCCACAGAAGGAAGUGGCAGCCCAAGCUCAUACUGUAAAA